GCUAUUCUACUUAAUCGCAGAGGAUCGUCCGCUGUCCCUGGAGCAGCCAGUGCGGCUCCACGGAGUGCACUCCAAGUUGCACUCCACGAAACACGGCCACCACGGCGGCGUAGCUGGAGGGGGCGACAGUGGCGCCACCGUUGUCACUGCCGUGGUGUCCAUCUGCGUGCUGGCUGGACUUCUGUUCUCCGUGGUGCUCAGUAGGUGGAGGACCAACGGCGUGGCGGAUUCGCCCGCUCCCCGAAGGAGCAAGCAAAACAAACAAGGCUACGUUGUGGUGUCCCAGUCAUCUCCAGAAAACUCGUCACCUGUUUGAAUGCUUCCAGUUCAACACACCGCGCAACAUUCGUGGUUACAAGUGCAUACGGCCAACCGCAUUCAAUCUUCAGUGUGACUGGUUGUUUAGCUGGACACGUAUACAAGCGUGCGCUUCUAGUGAGCACCAUGCGACGAAACCUUCUAUCCAAGUUACGUCAAAAUGAACUGCUAGCACGACGCUUAAAACGUGGCAAGGCUGUAAAACUGAGUGAUUGUGACUGCUUCCGAAGUUUUCGAAACGUCCUGGCUCCUUCGGGUAUGUCUUCAAGAACCUGCGGUUCUCCAUAGUGAAGCAUUGCGAGAACGCCCAAGUGGGAAAACCUCUGGUCAUCGGCGAGCACAUUGGAACUUUUGAAGGUGUGAUGUGUUCGGCGCGUGCCGUACCCAGCGAGUGCAAGCCAGCUGUCCUCACGUGGUCUUGAAGAAAACUUCCAAGCGCUCGUGUGACUGUGAAGUGCGGUGCAUGCACAAAAGGAAGACGAAAUAGUUAAGCGUGACAAAAUAUGCUUCAGUGUGCGGUGUAUACGCGAGAGUUGUACGCUUUUGUCUUGAUGCGAAAUCAUCGCGCGCUUGGUGGAGCGCCUUACCAUGCCAUGUGUGUCUUCGAACAGUUCUCAUUGCGUGACUCGCGUUGUUCUUACGUACAAGAUGUAACCGAACUGGCUCUUGAUAUAGCAAAUGGGAAAAGCCAUUUGCGAGAUGCUUGCCGGGAGAGUCGAUAAACACAAGACUGUCGGUUGCCACCUUUUGAAUACACGAGGCCUGAUUGCUGUGAAUAGUUGCUUUAUUGUCUUAGUACUUCAAUUGUAUUCGAUGAGCCACCGCGUUUAUAUAACUCCCUACUUUACGUGUUCUUGUAAAGCGCUGACCACGAUUGCUUCAUAUAGAACCAAACGGGAAAGCAGGAACGCACGAAGAUUUGGACCCCCUAACUUAAUUGUUUAGAAGACCAUGAUUAACAUUAUUUGCAAAUAGAAAACAUGGACGCUUAAAAGUGUAUUCAAUGGCAUGCGUAGUUCAUACAUACUUAAACGUCCGACAGCGUCGGCAUGUCUUGUCGCGGAAAUGCUUCCAAGAUACUGGGGAGGGAAAUGAGUUACCUCUGAUUUAGCAUUUACUGAUUCCUGCUAAUGGGCUUUAUUGCAGCUAAAAUUAUUAUUAUUUGAUUUGAAAAUACAUACAUUUGACAGGAAAGGGAAAUCGAGGAGCAGGCUGGCAACUGCCGCCGGAAGGGGCACAACGCCUGCCAACUCUUUAGAAAGGAGGAUAUAGAAACAUAGCAAUGGAAGAUAGGAAGCUAAAAUGUUAUCCUUUUAGAAAAAUGUAUUACACAAUGACUAAUACUUCGUCACUGCCAGUCUUCACACAGGACACUUAACAAUUGUUUUAUGUGACAUUGUGUACAUCUAAUAUACCUAGGAUCUCAGACAGCGUCGGCCUGUUUUGCAACGAAAAAUAUUCAAAUGUACUGAAGAAAAGGAUUGAGAUAUACAUAACUAAUCAGGUGCUUCGUAACCUACGCUGUUGCGCCACGGUACCGCUAAGAAUUGGCAUCGUUCCAGAAACACACAUUACGUCAUACAUGCUAUUCUGCCACUACCAGGCUCCCUUUUAUCGCCCGGUCACGUUUCCAGGCGCCGUUUAAGACCUCUAGAUAACGUCCACACGCCGACACAUCUGUUUUCCUUGAGCUAAUCACCUGCUGUGUACAGUACUGAAGGCCGAGCGAAGAAGGGGUCACAAAGAUGUUGCCUGAAUAAUGUGCUUCUGGAGCGAAGUCAUCUGUUCUUUUUUUCAUUGUUUUUAUUUCUGAUGCGUUCCACCUGGGUUUCCACGUGCUCAUCGAAAGUGCCGAGAUGUUUCUGUUCCUUUCUUCAGGCCAUGUAAACAUCCUCGCCAGCUGCUCCAUGAAGCAUGCACGCUAAAGGCGUGAGCCUAACACAUAAUACACGGGACCCAGCGUCCGAGCUUAUCACGUUAUGUUAUACUUUCGUUCAUUGAAAAAAAAAUAUACAUUACCUAUGCCGUUUCGAAAUCUUUAUGCGUGUUUAUUAUUCUUUAUGCAUGUACGUAGUGUCGGCAUACAUGUAGCGUUGUCCAUCUCGCAGUACUGAGUGUUUUUACCUACUACGCGCACACACUAUUCGCGUACGUUGUGCAGAAACUUCUUUCUUUCUUUCUUUCUUUCUUUCUUUCUUUCUUUCUUUCUUUCUUUCUUUCUUUCUUUCUUUCUUUUUAUGGUCUCCCGUAUUUUGGCUACACCAGACAAGUUGUAGGUGUAGCAAAAGAUCUCAAAUCCCGAUCAAAAAAGUGUAUUUUGUUUUGGGGUCACGACCGCAUAGGCAUUGCUUUUUAUUUUAAUUUUUUUUCUCAGUUACUUUCUCACAGAUGCUAGAAAUUCUACUGCCUUUCACAUAAUGUCACCCUGUGGUGAGGUGAUCUGACCGGACCAAGGGGAAGCAGCUGUCUGUGUCAUGUGAAAACGACGAUGUUUCAUUGGCUUUAUAUUUGUUAAAAGUGGCUCUGGGAAAAUUUGAGCCAUCAUACGGAAAGGCUAAGGGUUUCCCACAGUAUAACUAACGCCAUCUAGCUUAUGGGAGCUCAGAUCGCAUCGGUAGCGUUAGAAAUGGGGACCGAUGAUACCGAUUGCACCAAUGAAAUAGCACUGAUAUACAUAUUAGCGGCAUUGAAGAACUCUGAAGCCAGGUAUGCGUUACGCCUAUACAGGGUGUCCUGGCUAAUGUUAGCACAGCGUAAUUAAAAAAACACACACACACACAAAUUGAAUCCAUGCACGCGGACGCAACCGAUAAAUUGUCGCCCCCCGUCACCUUCAGAUACUUAAGCAUUCAUUUUAUUCUAUGAGAUUCCUUAACUAUCUCAGAAUAUUUCACCGACUUAAUGAUUAAAAUUUUUCACGUUAGAAUUGUUCAGGCUAUGUAGCAUUUUAGAUAGUCGUUCUUUUCACGCAUAGAGUAUAAAGAGCCCGGAAAAUGGAAGUGAAUCCUCGGUGAUUAUCAAAUUAGACUGAAUAGAAAACUACCCUCACUGCGCAAACUAGUGGAGAAAGACGCUGCUCUAGAUUCACCACUGUUGAUUGCGUUGGCAUCGUUCAAAAUCUCAAGCUCACUUUAACUGGGACACACUGUACAUAAAAGUAGUUGCCUUCUAUGUCAACUCUUGGAGACAUUAUAUUGUUCAGUGGUAAAUCAACUACACCCUUUAGUUGUGUCACGCCUGUUCUUUGCAGGCGGCAUAAACAUUGAGUCGGGGCAUAGAAUGCUUUCGCGCAUCUGUAUAGAGUCCGCGAUGAGAAGUCGACUAUGUGGCUGGCUUACGGGAAGAAUGGUAGGACAGAUUGCAAAUUCUAAGUCAGCUGUACACGACACGAGUGCUGAGUACAAACAUUUUGCGCCGUAUAUUAUGUAUUUUUCUGUCAUAGUAAAGUUCUUU